GAUGAACGCUAGCUACAGGCUUAACACAUGCAAGUCGAGGGGAAACGACAUCGAAAGCUUGCUUUUGAUGGGCGUCGACCGGCGCACGGGUGAGUAACGCGUAUCCAACCUGCCCACCACUUGGGGAUAACCUUGCGAAAGUAAGACUAAUACCCAAUGACGUCUCUAGAAGACAUCUGAAAGAGAUUAAAGAUUUAUCGGUGAUGGAUGGGGAUGCGUCUGAUUAGCUUGUUGGCGGGGUAACGGCCCACCAAGGCGACGAUCAGUAGGGGUUCUGAGAGGAAGGUCCCCCACAUUGGAACUGAGACACGGUCCAAACUCCUACGGGAGGCAGCAGUGAGGAAUAUUGGUCAAUGGGCGAGAGCCUGAACCAGCCAAGUAGCGUGCAGGAUGACGGCCCUAUGGGUUGUAAACUGCUUUAUAAGGGAAUAAAGUGAGCCUCGUGAGACUUUUUGCAUGUACCUUAUGAAUAAGGACCGGCUAAUUCCGUG
rnacentral:rRNA from 1 species